AUGAGGGCGUGAGGUGGGCGUGUGUCAGCCAAAGGAAGGGCAGCACAUUCGAAGACAGCCGAGGUGAUCCCACACCAGCUGAACAAAUCCUCGGCCUUUUGUCUUAUGGCGGCGGGCGAGUGCGGUUCAUUGUGUGUGCGUGCGUGCGUGGCGUCGCGGUUAGUGUAGUGAUAGAUAGUGUGUGUUAGUUUAUCCUAUUGAAUGCGUCUUCCUCGCGUUGGAUUUGGUGAGUACCCGUAUCACAGGUCACACCGUGGGACUGACACCGCUGGAGCAACCCUUCGGAAUAAAGUAAAGUACAAAUUACUGUUUCCUAGGCGUUAGGCAUAGGGCGAUAGGCGGCGCGGCUAACCAUUCUCUUCCAGGUACAAACUAACCUUCUCUUCCAGGUACAUGUUAAUUAUCUAGUCUUCCCCAGUAAUGCCCUGGUUAGCGCACCGUGGCGGCGAUCCUGGAGCCUCGUGCUGGUGGUGGUGGUGGUGGCGGCGUAGCUGGCUGGCUGGCUGUGGCGGGCGUGCACGUGCUAUCAUCAUAUGGGUUGCGUGGUAGGUGCGUUCAGUGGUCUGGGCUGUGUUGGUGCGUGUUCUGAAGAGAUGACCGCAGACACACUGGCUGCUGAUGACUAGAGCCGCACAGAGGCAGUGUUCUGUACAAGCUGGAUGGAAGUAUGGAAAAGUAACAUGAACAAGGUUGUGAAUGUUCGGGUGUGGUGUGGAUGAGCAAGUGAGCGAGCUGGCAUUGGGAGCCGAGCGGGGGAGGCAGCGCGACGUGAGGCUAGCCAAGAUGUAGGAAGAUUGUACUGUACUUAUGCUAUGGAAUGGUGUUGUUACUGUAAAGCAUACUUAAGAAAGAUAAAAAUAUGGCUGAUU